rnacentral:sRNA from 1 species
AGGGUAAAGCAGGGGCACUGCCAGGCCUCCGAAGGAGUGUGCUUGGCCUGGCCGAGGGCUGCUUGGCCAAGUCUGGGUGGACUCGAGGCCACUAGGCCCAAAGCCUGCCUGGCUGUGAGGGUGCUAGGUCUAGAACCGUGCACGAGGGGAAUGCCUGCUCGGGCCCGAACUUCGCUAGGCGCAGGAUGUGCACUGGCCCAGGGCCUGCUUGGACCUGAAACUCGCUAGGCCCAGGAUGUGCACUGGCCGAGAGCCUGCUGGGCCCAAACCUUACUAGGCCCAGGAUGUUCACUGACUGAACCGGCUCAGGCCUAACCUUGCUAGGCCCAGGAUAUGCACUGGGCCAGAGUGUGCUCAGGCGGAACCUUGCCAGGCCCACGGUGUGUGCUGGCCCUAAGUCUGCUGAGGCCUAAAACCUGUUCGUUCUAGGGUUUUGUACAAAAUCCUGCUUUAGCCUAAAUCCUGCUUAGCCUUGACCCCCUCCUAGACCCAGGCCAGAUCAGCAUUGUUCUGACCCUACUAGGUCCAAAGCCUUUUGAGGCCAGACCUUGUUUCAACUCCAAAGCCUGCUAGGUUCCAGCACCCCCCAUCCCUCCUCAUACCACCCCCUUCUCCCCCUAUGAAAACCGCUUGCUUAUUUUUCAAACAGGCCAAGUCAUCAUGGCAGCCACUGAGAUCUCUGUCCUUUCUGAGCAAUUCACCAAAAUCAAAGAACUCCAGUUGAUGCCGGAAAAAGGCCUGAAGGAGGAGGAAAAAGACGGAGUGUGCAGAGAGAAAGACCAUCAGAGCCCUAGUGAGUUGGAGGCAGAGCGUACCUCUGGGGCCUUCCAGGACAGCGUCCUGGAGGAAGAAGUGGAGCUGGUGCUGGCCCCCUCGGAGGAGAGCGAGAAGCACAUCGUGACCCUGCAGACGGUGCACUUCACUUCUGAAGUUGUGGAGUUGCAGGAUAUGAGCUUGCUGAGCAUACAGCAGCAAGAAGGGGUGCAGGUGAUGGUGCAGCAGCCUGGCCCUGGGUUGCUGUGGCUUGAGGAAGGGCCCCGGCAGAGCCUGCAGCAGUAUGUGGCCAUUAGUAUCCAGCAAGAGCUGUACUCCCUGCAAGAGGUGGAGGUGUUGCAGUUCCACGCUCUAGAGGAGAAUGUGAUGGUGGCCAGUGAAGACAGUAAGUUAGCGGUGAGCCUGGCUGAAAGUGCUGGACUGAUUAAGCUCCAGGAAGGGCAGGAGAAGAACCAGUUAUUGGCUGAAAGAACAAAGGAGCAGCUCUUUUUUGUGGAAACAAUGUCGGGAGAUGAAAGAAGUGACGAAAUUGUUCUCACAAUUUCAAAUUUAAAUGUGGAAGAACAAGAGGAUCAACCUACAGCUGGUCAAGCAGAUGCUGAAAAGGCCAAAUCUACAAAAAAUCAAAGAAAGACAAAGGGAGCAAAACGAACCUUCCACUGUGAUGUCUGCAUGUUCACCUCUUCUAGAAUGUCGAGUUUUAAUCGUCAUAUGAAAACUCACGCCAAUGAGAAGCCUCACCUGUGUCACCUCUGCCUGAAAACCUUCCGUACAGUCACUCUGCUGCGGAACCACGUUAACACCCACACAGGAACCAGGCCCUAUAAGUGUAACGACUGCAACAUGGCAUUUGUCACCAGUGGAGAACUCGUCCGACACAGGCGCUAUAAACAUACUCAUGAGAAACCCUUUAAAUGUUCCAUGUGCAAGUAUGCCAGUGUGGAGGCAAGUAAAUUGAAGCGCCAUGUCCGAUCCCACACUGGGGAGCGCCCCUUUCAGUGUUGCCAGUGCAGCUACGCCAGCAGAGACACCUACAAGCUGAAACGCCACAUGAGAACGCACUCAGGUAAGGGCUCUGGUGCUGAAGGCCUGAUACCUACAGUGUUAACUCUUAAAGCAAGCUUUAAAAAAUUACUUUUUAUUGGCACAAUUAAAGUUCAAAGGUAAAAGUGGAUUUUUGCAUGCCUUCAUGAUACGAGAAUCUUGAUCUGUACCUUUACCUUUAUUUAGCAGUAAGAGAGUCUGCAUAGAUACUGUGCCACAACCCCACUGUGUGGAGUAAAACACGAAGUAUUUGCUUCCAUAGAUUUUUCAGGUAUUUAAAACUCAACUCCUGGCCAGGCAUGGUGGCUCAAACCUGUAAUCCCAGCACUUUGGGAGGCUGAGGCAGGAGGAUCCCUUGAGUCCAGGAGUUUGAGACCAACCUGGUCAACAUAGGGAGACCCUGUCUCUACGAGUAAUUUAAAAAUUAGCCGGGCCUGGUGGCGCACACCUGUGGUCCCAGCUACGUGGGAGGCUGAAGCAGGAGAAUCACUUGAACCCAGGAGGUUGAGGCUGCAGUGAGCCGGGAUUGUGCCACUACACUCCAGCCUGGGUGACAGAGUGAGAACCUGUCUCAAAAAAAAAGUAAAUAAAAAUAAAUAAAAGUCAACUCCUUAAUUCAUUCUUCAACUUUAAGGCAAAACAUAAAGUGUGCUGGUUUUGUAACAGAGGUACUUGAUGUCUUGUGUUAAGAAUACAUUUAUGUGUACUUCUUGGUUCUUCGUACAGCCCCAUGGAUGUGAACUCUUGCAUAGCCACCAGAUGCGGGGAAGUCAUGCCUCUGGUCCAUCAUGGACACAGCUGUACUUGACAUAAGCUGUCUGGGCUUGAUUUGGGAGUCUCAUACUAAUUGGGGGUUGUCCAGUGAGAAGGGGGUUGAUAAAGGAGGCUUGGGGCAAAAGAAACAUUUUCAGCACAGGUGGCCUUUGGCAAGGAUCGGGCCUGGAGGGGUAUCACUUUGUUGUCUGCAUCUCAGGUGAGAAGCCUUAUGAAUGCCACAUCUGCCACACCCGCUUCACCCAGAGCGGGACCAUGAAAAUACAUAUUCUGCAGAAACACGGCGAAAAUGUCCCCAAAUACCAGUGUCCCCAUUGUGCCACCAUCAUUGCACGGAAAAGCGACCUAC